ACGGUUUGCCGUGUUUUCACCCUUCUUUGCUCUCCACCGGUCUGGGCAGGGUCUGAGGACUCCGGAGAGCAAGGCAUGGGUCCGCCUCGUGCCGCAGGUUCCUGGCCCACGCCAGCCGUACCCAGUAGCACAAUGGGUGAGCUCUGAGGACUUCACAGGGGCCCCAUCCCCUCACCUAGAUGAGGGCUAACCUUGGAAUCCAGACAAAGGUGGAAGUGACCAAGAUGUGACCUGAAUGAGCUAAUCGUCUAAUGAGAGCCAGCCCUUUGUCCUGCCCGCAUGAAGGGCUUUGCUGCUACGCACUGACAAGUUGGACGGCUUUUUAUUGCUUUGUUGCCAGUUAUCUGAACAUGAGAGGCUGUAAGGUGUAAUCUGCGAGCCCUGCGCCCAGACUGAACCAGGGCCUCCCUUGAACAUGAGUAUUAGACAAUGAAAUAAGAACUUAUCUUGCCCAGACUAUAUAAUGGCUUGGAAAUGCAUAGUUUCCUGAACGAUCUCAAUAAAAUACUUUUAAAAGUA
ensembl:processed_transcript 1110038B12Rik RIKEN cDNA 1110038B12 gene